UACAGGGGGUGCAAACGUUGCUCGGAAUCAUUGGGCGUAAAGCGCACGUAGGCGGUCUGUUAUGUCGGAUGUGAAAGCCCUUGGCUUAACUGAGGAAGUGCAUCCGAAACUGGCAGGCUAGAGUACUAAAGAGGGUCGCGGAAUUCCCGGUGUAGAGGUGAAAUUCGUAGAUAUCAGGAGGAACACAGGUGGUGUAGACGGCUUUCUGGACCGUAACUGACGCUGAGACACGAAAGCGUGGGUAGCAAACAGG
rnacentral:rRNA from 1 species